GUCUUGUCAUACAAUAUUGACAAUGGAAUACACUUUUAAUAUUUUAUAAACCAUAUAGUUAUCAUCAAAGACAUAUUUUAGCGGGAGUCCAGGACAUUUUGUUCACUGGGAUUUCUCUCUGUACGGUUACCGUAUCAUGUGAAGGGAUGAAAUUGGGCAACCAUCCAAACGUCUACUAAUUUAGCGCGCUAUGGAGGACUCGACCAAUCAACGACGCGCGCGCAUUCAACGGUACCAACACCCUGCAGUGCAGGAGAACAGGACUAGUUGCUACAGUAAUAAUAUAAAAUAAAGCAGACUUUUCAGCUCCUCAUCUUCGGUUGAUGGUCAACAUUUCAAAACUAAGAUUCAAGAGCUAGUCAAGAACAAGGCAUUAGGAUGGACUGGUUCCACUGUAACAGCUGCUUCCGAAGAGAGGGGCAGAACUUUGCUGUCUCCAGCUGUGGUCACAUCUGCUGUGAAGGCUGCAUCAACCCUAAUAAAAAACAUUGCACUGUGUGUGGAGCCAGCUGCAAUUACCUGGCCAUCUCAGACCAGAUGAAGCCUCAGGAGCAGGUGUUCUUCAAAGACCCUGUUAAGCUCAUUCAGUCUCGUCUGGAGCACAUAGCACAGAUUGCUCUAUUUCAGCGAAGGCAGAAGGAAAGGGUCAUUGUCUACUUCAAAAACAAAUCUAUGGAGCUGGAGAGGAGACUGAAGGAUGUCACAGAUCAGUGUUACAGGCAAGUUUUAGAGCUGAAAAGAGAGAAUGCCGAGUUGAAGAAACCUCUCUCUCAGAGGAGGGCAUCACCUGGACAAUUUCAAACAAAUGGCAGUGCCCAAAGGAUGUCUCUCCCAGUGGCUGUUACCUCCCCAGUCACCCCUCGCUCACGUCCUGUUAGAUAUUUUCACCUGUCAAUAACUGUUUCAGCCACCAAGGCUUUGCUGAAACCCAGGAGAGAUUCAGAGAUAGAAACCCUAGGCUCACCCUCGCAACUCCGCCUGGUUCUGCCACAUCAAUCUCCAGCCUUGGCUCUCUGCACGAGCGUGGUGGCUUCAGGACUCCCACCAUUAUUAGCACUCCCACCCGGUAAGAAUUGAUGCAUAUCAGUUGAUUUCCAUUUCCAUGGUGCAUCGUUGAAAGUAGUGGUCUGAGAAUCUGACUCCAAACAUUUUCCAGUUCUUGACUGGGUCAUCACUGCACUCCCCAAGGCCUUUCAGAAAUGGCCAGUAAACUGAAUCUGAUGAACAGCUGACCCCGAUCUCAGAAAGUGCAGGGAAGCAGUUAACACACACAAUGUUUUAAAUAUUUUUUUUUACUUGUUUCGAGUGAUGUAGUUGUGCAAAUGUUAAAUUGAACAUAAUACAACAUUAAAAAGACAUGCUCCGGUACUUUGGCAAACAAAGUAUAUAUAUAUAUAUAUUUUUAAACCUCCCGCUUUGGGAUGUGUCAAAGUGUAGUUCAUAUAUGCAUAAUCUAUGAGCAGAAUUACUGUCUUCAAUUCAAUUAGCCACAAAAUCCCUAGUUUGAAAAUACUUUUCUUGAAACUGUGCAGCACCAUUUCCCCUACAUUUCACCCCACGUGGGCCAUCCUCUUAACAAUUGAGUUAUAGCCCUCGCAUUGAGUGGAAGCUAGCAAGAGGCCUGCCCAGCAUUAUCCAAUGAGGUUGCAGGACGGGCCCAACAACUCAGGGGAAACCGUAGAGAGCAAUGAGGUGGUGCACAUAUGUGACUUAGUACGCAAUUUUCAGGGACCACUUUUGGUUUUGGAGUGUUACUUUCACAACUACUAGAUAUAAAAGAUACAAAAGUAUGGGAGAAUCUGACUUUUGAAAUGAGUGCCAUGUGUCCAGUUAAGUAAAACAUUGAAAAACUGUUUACAACUACAAUUAAAGGGAUUGGAACCUGAGAAGUGUUCCGACAAACAUUUCUCCUUCGCAUUCUUGUACUUCCUUUGUAAUAUUCUCAUAGCUAAUAGAAAAAACAUUUACACUGUAGAAAAUGUUGCUUAAUGUUGAUUAAAAUACUUUUCCUGGUA